rnacentral:lncRNA from 1 species
AGACAGCUGGCAAGCUCUGUCCCAAUAUGCUUCCCUGAAAGAGGCGAGGAAAUUUCAGAAGAUGCAAUGCCUGAAUGGCUCACUUUGCAGGAAAACAGAAGAACCAAGAGUGAACAGGAAACCUACAGAAUAGGAGAAAAUUUUUGCAAUCUACUCAUCUGACAAAAGGCUAAUAUCCAGAAUCUACAAAGAACUCAAACAAAUUUACAAGCACAAAACGAACAACCCCAUCAACAAGUGGGCAAAGGACAUGAACAGACACUUCUCAAAAGAAGACAUUUAUGCAGCCAACAGACACAUGAAAAAAUGCUCAUCAUCACUGCCCAGCUAAAUCUUGACUUCUAUUGAAGAAGUGAAGGAUGGAUUUUGUAAGCCUACCAGCAGCCAAAGGAGACUAAGAGGAGUCAUUCAGGAAUAUGAGGGUUAUGAAGACAGUGGUGUCCCAGAAACCAAGGAGAAGAGGAUGUUGCAUGAAGAAGGAGAUGAUGGUUUCACUUUGGUUACAUUUAUCCAAAUGCCCCGUCCAACUCUUCAGUGUCCCUAGUAAAAUCUGGUAUAGAGAUGGACACUGUUUUUUAGGUGAGGCCUGCUGAGUGUGGAGAGUUGUGAAAAAUUUUUCCCUUAAAUUGAGAAUGUUUUAAAUAAUGCAGCCUAUGUUUUCUUUAAGUAACAAGGCCAUCCCACUGACUCACACUGAUCUUGUUCUCAGCAAAAAACUCCCUGCUCUUCCUCAUAUUAAUUGCCAUAAAAACAAGUCACUUCUAUCAUGCAUUUGGCUCAUUG